rnacentral:rRNA from 1 species
GGACGCCAGUCUGCGUGGAGCCAACCUUGAAAUACCACCCUUUAAUGUUUGAUGUUCUAACGUGGACCCGUAAUCCGGGUUGCGGACAGUGUCUGGUGGGUAGUUUGACUGGGGCGGUCUCCUCCUAAAGAGUAACGGAGGAGCACGAAGGUUGGCUAAUCCUGGUCGGACAUCAGGAGGUUAGUGCAAUGGCAUAAGCCAGCUUGACUGCGAGCGUGACGGCGCGAGCAGGUGCGAAAGCAGGUCAUAGUGAUCCGGUGGUUCUGAAUGGAAGGGCCAUCGCUCAACGGAUAAAAGGUACUCCGGGGAUAACAGGCUGAUACCGCCCAAGAGUUCAUAUCGACGGCGGUGUUUGGCACCUCGAUGUCGGCUCAUCACAUCCUGGGGCUGAAGUAGGUCCCAAGGGUAUGGCUGUUCGCCAUUUAAAGUGGUACGCGAGCUGGGUUUAGAACGUCGUGAGACAGUUCGGUCCCUAUCUGCCGUGGGCGCUGGAGAACUGAGGGGGGCUGCUCCUAGUACGAGAGGACCGGAGUGGACGCAUCACUGGUGUUCGGGUUGUCAUGCCAAUGGCACUGCCCGGUAGCUAAAUGCGGAAGAGAUAAGUGCUGAAAGCAUCUAAGCACGAAACUUGCCCCGA